rfam:Coprobacillus sp. CAG:826 genomic scaffold, scf37
CGUGGAAAGAAGAGGCGCCCGCUUCUCACCUGAUUUAGAUUCUAAAUAGGUACCAAAACACGAUGCAUAACGAUGUAUUCUAACGGGCGCAUUCUGUGUCCGUUUUUCUUUGUAAAA